rnacentral:misc_RNA from 1 species
GGCCACACUAAUUUCGCGAAAAGCGCGUGGUAUUUAAUACCUUAUUUAUUUGCUUUAUUUCGCCAUUAGAAGUAAGUUUCGCUGUGUCGAAAAUCUAGCAAAGAAAGCCACUGGAUCCAGAGCUAGUGCAUCCAAAACCCGGUAAUUCAUUUCGAUGUCUGAGGGCAGCGGUAGCGAGAAUGCGGCCGCAGCAGAUGCUGCGGCCGAGGCAGAAGCCGCGAGUGAGGCGGCACUGAUGGCUGAAGCGGUGGCUGUGGCCUACCAGAGCGACGAGGAGGAGCAGCCAGAGGCCGAGGACACACCUGAGCAGGCUGGCGAUAACCAGGAAGAGGACGCCGCUGAACAACAGGAUGGGGUGGAACUAGAGGGCGACGAAGACGCUGAUGCUGACGACGCCAUGAGCGUGGAAAAUGCGGAAAAUGAAAGCGAUAGCGGUGGAAACGCCGAGGAGACCGCCGCCGCCGACCGGCGCCAGGCCACCAAGAAGGAGCUCACCCAGAUUAUCGACAAGUGGGAGCAACAGCAAACCCAAAAUGGAUACGAUCCAGUGCCCACUCUCAGGAGCCUUGCGGAGAUCUUUGAGCGUGAGAAGGACGUGUAUCGGCGCAAGGAUCCGGAUCCCCUGGAUUCACGUCAUCCAUAUAGAGCCGAUCCCAGCUGCCAGUACGGAUUGCUACUCAAGCUGCUCUUUCGGAAGGAUACCUUCAUGGGCAAACUCCUCAACGAUUACCUGCGAGAGAACUAUUUCAGUCGCCAGAACGUCAGUCGCAGCUCUCUAGAACUAAACAUCCUGGCCUGCCGCCUCAUCCUGGAAAUAAUGCCAGGAAUGGAGACCUCUGCAGUAUUUCAGACCGCCGAAGGCGAUGGAACCAUCAAUCGAAUCUACUCUUGGGCAGAGGACAGCAUUGAACCGCUUCAAAGCUAUGCCACCGGUCUUUUAGCCGAAGCCAUGGAAGUGAGCGACAUAGCCAUAAACUUUCGCGAUCUGAAUAUUCGAUUGGUGCCAAAGAUGAUCAAGCGUCUGCACAUGCUCCUGGCGAUCAGCAAGAGCGCCACUUCAGAUGUCAAUACGCCGAUGCACAAUCUUUCGGCUGACAGCAGCACGUCGGGCAUGCUCAGCUGGGUGGCCUGCGCCAGUAAUGCAUCAGCUCCUCAAUCGCCGCAGCACAAUGGCAGUGGGCUGGGAGCAAGUUCCUCGCAGCAUGGCGACGCCUCUAAUAUGUCCAUUCUGUUCGAGAACAGCAGAGAUGCCUUUUCCGUAUCUCGCUAUUACAAAAGGAUGUAUAUUCCUUUGCACCCGGCCACAGCGGAUACUAGCCAAAUGUUAAUCAUGCGCUUCCUGACCAGCCUGGGCGAAUAUCAAGAGUUCCUAGCCAUGGCUUUCGAAAACAAUGUGAUGCAGCUAAUUUUUGGCUACCUGGAAAACUUGGAUCGCCGGGACACCUGCUUGGCCUACGAAGUUUUGAAGUAUCUGGCUUCCCUUCUUUGCCACAAGAAGUUUGCUUUAGAGUUUAUUUCACACGGUGGAUUGGAGCUUUUGUUAAAAGUACCCCGCCCCAGUUUGGCGACAACUGGUGUGUCCAUCGCCAUCUACUACUUAGCAUACUGUGAAGACGCCAUGGAACGCAUAUGCAGUAUGCAAAGACCACUUAUUUCAGAACUCGUGCGCUACGCUCUCUGGAUUCUGGGUCGUUGCCACGACUCCUCAAAGUGUCAUGCCACCAUGUUCUUUAGUCUGAGCUUCCAAUUUAAGGUCAUAUUGGAUGAGUUUGAUGCUCAGGAUGGUUUAAGAAAGCUGUACAAUGUCAUUUCUGUACUAAAAAUUCUUGAUCCGAGCAACAACGACAGCGACAAUGACUCUGAUUUCAACGAAGACGUAGAAUGUGCUUCCCGACAAAUGGUGCGCCACGUCUGCGUAGCCCUCAAGCGUUACAUGGAGGCGCACUUCUUCUACAAGUACAACAGCUUCCUUUGUCAAACAAAUGCGGCAUCCCCGGCACCGUCAUCAGCCCACUAUUUCAAUCAGAAUCCCACGGUUGCUGCCAAACUGACCUUUGACCAGUUGAACGACCAGAUUCGCACGCUCCAGGAGCACACUUCUAUUCGGGCUCAUUGGCAACCGGUGGAUCAGCUGAUGAAGCUUGGUGGAAUAACCAUGCUACUUAGGAUCAUCGCCUUCAGUUACGAUUGGGUCAACAGUGGACGCUCUGAGACGGUGCGCUCGGCUCUGGACGUGCUCAGCGUAUGCUGUAUCAUCCCAAGAGUUUAUGUUGUGCUCUGCGAGCGCCUGCUGAUGCUAGACAAGACAACUACCUCCGGAUUUUGCUCGGUUCUGGGCGCUGCUGCAGGAGAAAUUAGCUCGGAUGCAGAGGUUAUCAAAUCGGCGUUAGCGGUGCUGUGCCAUUGUGUUUGCUCUCCGAUCAUCCGCAAGGACAGCGGCACCAGCCUAAUUAAGUUUGGAACGUCCUCCAGGAAGAACAAGGCCAACCAUAAGUAUGCCGAGGAGCUGAUUGAACGUGUUUGGGAGUCCGUAUGCUCCAACAAUGGCAUUGUGGUCUUGCUAUCGCUGAUGCAGACUAAAGGACCCAUUACGGAUGCGGACUGCAUACGAGGAAUGGCCUGUAGGGCCUUGGCGGGACUUGCGCGCUCCGAUCGGGUCAGGCAGAUCGUCAGCAAGCUUCCACUCUUUGCCAGCGGGCAACUCCAGACGCUGAUGCGGGAUCCCAUACUCCAGGAGAAGCGCGCGGAACAUGUAAUCUUCCAAAAGUACGCAUUGGAGUUGCUAGAACGAGUGUCGGGUAAGACGAAACCGCUAAAUAAUCCUUUGGAUCCAUCGCUGUCCAACAUGCACAAGGCCAAUGUAAUCGCCCAGACACGCAUCCAGUACAACAAGCAGCAGCUGUAUCAGCUUAUCUUCGAGCACCUGGAGAGCAACGGUCUCUCCCAGACAGCCCAAAUGCUGCAACGUGAGGUGGGUCUUCCGCUACAGACUCCCACUACGCGCAGUUUUCAUCAAUCACCUUUCGACUACAAAAGUCUUCCCAGUGGUAGUAGCUCGCUGUCCAGGAAUCGUCUGCGAAGCCGCAUGCAAGAUGUGAACGCAGCGAUAAUGGGCAGUGGAGACUUAAACAGAAGUUUUGGUGAGGACUCCUCGCCGGCAGGAGCUGGUGGUAGCAAUGCGGGAGAUGGAGUCAGCAUACCAAAUUUUAGCUCCCUUAACACAACGCAGACGCCCAUAAAAAUAAGGAGGACGGACAGAAGUUCAGUCAGCCGCUCAAUCCAGAAGCAGACAAUGGAGCCUGGUGGCAUGUCAGUUGGUCUUCCCGAAGAUGGUCAACUGCAUCCCAAGAGGAUUACCCUAAAUACCAUCGUAACGGAAUACCUCACCAACCAGCAUUCGCUGUGCAACAAUCCGGUCACGACCUGUCCGCAGUUUGAUUUGUACGAGCCGCACAAAUGUCCAGAUCCGAAGCCCAGCCGGCUCCUGAGCUCGAAUUACAACCUGACCAGCCGGCAUGCUCGAACCCAAGCCGGAUUUAAUACCAGUCGCUUUGACCGUCGCUAUGUGCACACGCACUUUUCACCAUGGCGUAGCAUUCGAUCGGCGGACUACGAGGACCUAGAGUUCACCUGUUGCGAUUUGGCGGGUAAAUACAUAAUUGUGGGCACGCAGCAGGGCGACGGACGAGUGUUCAACAUGAACGACGGCGUGGAGCAGUUCUUCUCCAACUGCCACAACUUUAGCGUGGAUGCUAUCAAGGCCAACAGGGCCGGAGACUUGGUCAUCACAUCUAGCUUUUGGCGAACACCCAACAGCAUUCUGUGGUCUAUUGCGGACGAUGAGUUCAAGCUAAAGUUGCGUCUUCCCGAUGUCACCUACUGUGAGUUUAGUCAAACGGCGCAGGAUCGUUUGUUGGGCACCCAGAAUGAGUGCGCCACGCUCUUUGAUAUAAACACUGGUUCCAAGGUGGCCUCGUUUACGCCAACCAUACCUAAUCUCUACACCAAAAAUAGAGCAACUCUUUGCCGAACCGAUGAGCUGAUUUUGUCGGAUGGUGUUCUAUGGGAUGUGCGUUCCGGAAAGGAGAUACACAAGUUCGACAAGUUUAAUCAGUGUAUAUCAGGCGUCUUUCAUCCCAACUGUCUGGAGAUCAUUGCCAAUACCGAGGUGUGGGACUUGCGCACCUUUCAUUUGCUGCAGACAGUGCCGGUGCUAGACCAGCGUAACUGCACCUUCUCCCCGAUGCAUGUAAUCUACGGGGCUAGCUUGGGGGCGGAUAGGGAUCAUGACAUGGAGACGACCACAUAUGACACCAGCUUCAACGUUCUGGACGCCUACGACUACUCGAGCAUUGCGACCAUUGACGUUAAGCGCAACAUAAACGAUCUGAGCGUCAGCGCCAACGGAAGUCUGAUCGCCGUGGUCGAAGACUACAGUGGCUACGAGUCCAAACAAGAGACCUACGUGAAGAUCUACGCUGUGGGCGUUAAAAAGAGCGAGCGCUCGGAAGAGGUGCGUGCGGUUAAGGAGCUGGCCAGCGAGGUAUCGGACGCAGUGGCGCCGGGGUCGGCAAACGCCAACGAUGGUGGCGAUGCUUCGCUGAUUCGGGUUUUCGAGGAGGCACCAGAGCGCCCACAGCCGGCGGAGAACGCUGCACCCGCUGGCCCCAACAAUUUUGAGGAGGAGCAGCUACGCCGGCUAAGUCCCGCCAUGCAAGCAAGUCCAAAUCUUUCUCGCCAACAUGCACCCAACAGCUCAAUUGUUGGGGUGCGACGGCGGGCACGUAGACUGGGUGGCAAUGGCAGCGGCAGUGGCGGGAAUGGGAAUCUGAAUCUUAAUGGUGGUGGCGGAGUCGGAAUCGGCGCUGCCAUAGAUCUGAGAACCCUCAUGCGGCGCAUGGAUGAUUUUGAACUAAAUAUUAUGUCUAUGCUUGCAGGAAGAUGAUGAGGAGGUGCCCGAAUCUGACGAGGACGGCUCGGAUACGGGCUCCGAGAACACUUUUGCUAUAGGUCAAAAUUUAAUGGGUUUCAACCUGC